CUCUCUUGGAGGCAAACACUGAAGGAGAAUGUGUGUUUGCUUGUAAAAGCUGAACCACAUUUCCUGUUUGUAAGAAAGAAGGUGAAAAAAAAAGACUGGAGGGAUUUGAGAUUAACAGCAACUCUAAAGACAGGUUCAUGCUGCCAGGCUCAAAAAAAGAGUAUCCAAUUUCUGCCAACGUAACUUGAUUUCCUGUUGGAUAAAGGAGAGGAGAGUAUUCCUGGAAGCAACAGAACCAGUUACAGGAAUGGACUGCCAUUUUUCUGUCUGGGGAGUUUUGGCCUUCCUGAGUUUGGCUCUGCUUGUUUCAGUGACACUGAAUAUUGUACACUGUAUGAAAAAGAAGCAAGGUAAGUAAUGUCUCUUUGUAAGGAAUCAAAUUUCAGU
rnacentral:lncRNA from 1 species